CCUACGGGAGGCAGCAGUGGGGAAUAUUGGACAAUGGGCGCAAGCCUGAUCCAGCCAUGCCGCGUGAGUGAUGAAGGCCCUAGGGUUGUAAAGCUCUUUCACCGGUGAAGAUAAUGACGGUAACCGGAGAAGAAGCCCCGGCUAACUUCGUGCCAGCAGCCGCGGUAA
rnacentral:rRNA from 1 species